UCCAGAAGAAUUAUCACUACCUUUACAGACAAACCACAGAGUUGAGAUCAUUCAUCCAAAACUUAUUUUAGAAAUACUUUAAGACUCUGUUUUGCAAAUUAUACAAGAGGGAUCAUGGGAAGUUAAUACCCUUGAGUCUGAGGGGGGACAAAAUCUCACGUCUGAGCCAUUGUAAAUAAGUAGAGAUAUAUUUUUCAAUCUGUACCCCUAGGAAAGAAUCAGGCAAAUAUUUGUUUUCUCUCUGAGUUCAUGGGUCUGAAAGCUGGUAUUUUUUGCUUGAGUGCUGAUGGCUGUUUCAAAACAAAACCAGAACAUUCCUAGCCUCCCAGCAGCUCUGGUAGCCACAGACAGCUGGACAUUCUGCAACUGCUGUGAAGGAAGUUACAGACUGUCUCCCAGCACUUCCUACUCACUCACGAGGGAUGAUUAUGUUCCACUGGGAUAAAGUAUUAUUAUUCAUAACAAGGAGCUACACAAAGAAAGUGCCAUGAAAAUAUGCAGAAACAAUCUUCUAUCCUGGCCCUUAUCCCUGAAAACACUGGGAAAAGCCAAUCCAGGGCUGACCAUUGACCAAGAGAAGCAUGUAUGAAAGUAGAAGAGCACUUCUGAUGCUGAAGGAAGCUGAUUUGCAAGUUCAAAAACUGACCCAUCUAGUCUGAUGGAAUAGACUCUUAGCCUGGUCUCCCUGGGUGCAGGCUCACCU